rnacentral:rRNA from 1 species
GGAGUUUGGACCGUGUCUCAGUUCCAAUGUGGGGGACCUUCCUCUCAGAACCCCUACUGAUCGUUGACUUGGUGAGCCGUUACCUCACCAACUAUCUAAUCAGACGCAUCCCCAUCCACUGCCGCUAAACCUUUAGUUCUAUUUGGAUGUCCGCUUAGAACUUCAUACGGUAUUAAUCCGUCUUUCGACGGGCUAUCCCGUGGUAGUGGGAAGGUUGGAUACGCGUUACUCACCCGUGCGCCGGUCGUCGCCUAUAAAAAGCAAGCUUUCUACAUCGUUACCCCGCGACUUGCAUGUGUUAAGCCUGUAGCUAGCGUUCAUC